rfam:Homo sapiens chromosome 14, GRCh38 reference primary assembly.
GCUGGGCGUGGUGGCGUGCGCCUGUAGUCCCAGAUACUUGGGAGGCUGAGGCAUGAGAAUCGCUUGAACCCGGGAGGCAGAGUUGCAGUGAGCCAGGAUUGUACCACUGCGCUCUAGCCUGGGUGACAGAGUGAGACUCUGUCUCAA